rnacentral:rRNA from 1 species
UACGAAGGGGGCUAGCGUUGCUCGGAAUCACUGGGCGUAAAGCGCACGUAGGCGGAUUGUUAAGUCAGGGGUGAAAUCCUGGAGCUCAACUCCAGAACUGCCUUUGAUACUGGCAAUCUUGAGUCCGGAAGAGGUGAGUGGAACUCCUAGUGUAGAGGUGGAAUUCGUAGAUAUUAGGAAGAACACCAGUGGCGAAGGCGGCUCACUGGUCCGGUACUGACGCUGAGGUGCGAAAGCGUGGGGAGCAACAGGG